CUGGUCUGAGAGGAUGAUCAGUCACACUGGAACUGAGACACGGUCCAGACUCCUACGGGAGGCAGCAGUGGGGAAUAUUGCACAAUGGGCGCAAGCCUGAUCCAGCCAUGCCGCGUGUAUGAAGAAGGUCUUCGGAUUGUAAAGCACUUU
rnacentral:rRNA from 1 species